CCUGAUCCAGCAAUGCCGCGUGUGUGAAGAAGGCCUUCGGGUUGUAAAGCACUUUUGUCCGGAAAGAAAUCCUUGGCUCUAAUACAGUCGGGGGAUGACGGUACCGGAAGAAUAAGCACCGGCUAACUACGUGCCAGCAGCCGCGGUAAUACGUAGGGUGCGAGCGUUAAUCGGAAUUACUGGGCGUAAAGCGUGCGCAGGCGGUUUGCUAAGACCGAUGUGAAAUCCCCGGGCUCAACCUGGGAACUGCAUUGGUGACUGGCAGGCUAGAGUAUGGCAGAGGGGGGUAGAAUUCCACGUGUAGCAGUGAAAUGCGUAGAGAUGUGGAGGAAUACCGAUGGCGAAGGCAGCCCCCUGGGCCAAUACUGACGCUCAUGCACGAAAGCGUGGGGAGCAAACAGGAUUAGAUACCCUGGUAGUCCACGCCCUAAACGAUGUCAACUAGUUGUUGGGGAUUCAUUUCCUUAGUAACGUAGCUAACGCGUGAAGUUGACCGCCUGGGGAGUACGGUCGCAAGAUUAAAACUCAAAGGAAUUGACGGGGACCCGCACAAGCGGUGGAUGAUGUGGAUUAAUUCGAUGCAACGCGAAAAACUUACCUACCCUUGACAUGGUCGGAAUCCGCUGAGAGUGGGAGUGUCGAAAA
rnacentral:rRNA from 1 species